AGUUCACGCAAAGGAGAAUACUUGAUUUCUUCGGGCUUCCAAGGAAUUUUCCUGAUUUCAGAAGGAAUAAUUCUUCUUCUUGGGGUUUAUUGGUGGCAUGAAAAAUACAGACCAAGGAAGCCGAAGUAUUUCAACCGUGUUCACUGCAAAAGUGAAGUUAAGUUUAUUCUUUGAGUACUGUUUUUUUCUGUUAUAGGUUCAAUGCAACAAAAAUGUUGGAGUUGAUAAUAGAGUGGUGCAGAAACGAAGACCGACGCUGCGAGUUGAUGCCAUUGAUCACAGUUCGUUGAGAUGGAGAGGAGCUGAUAUUUUGGUUUUCAACACAGCUCAUUGGUGGUCUCAUUACAAAACCAAAGCUGGUAAUUCUGGGUCUCAUUGUUGCUACAGUCGAGCCCGUUGUUGCUGCUACUGUAAUUCUGGGUGAGCCAAUGGACAUCAUGCAGUUAUCUUUCUGUAUAAAUCCCUAAUUUGCAGAAUGACAAAGUCCAUAUCAUCCAUUAGGUUGGCGAAAUACGGAAAGGAAUUUUGCAGAAUUAGGAUGGGAUGUAAGGGUAGCACAAAGCAUCUAUGGUGCUUUCAGCGGCAUCGAGUAUGUUAAAGCUCAAACAACGGGCGUGACAGCAUAUCCGGUUCAAGAUGAUGCCUUGAAGACCGGUGAACUUGACUACAUCAAUGGAGGCUCUAAGCCAAACUGAUGGAAGAUGGCGCUACAGCUCUGAUAAUCCAGAGUCUAGUACCUAUGCUGCUGGAUUAGCUCUCGAAGCUCUUAGUGGAGUGAUUUCACUUGCAUCUUCUGAAAUCGAUCAGAGUAAGGUCAAUAUAGUAAAAACUGGUAUAGUAAAGCUAUUUGACAGCAUCGAGAAAUAUGAUAUUUGUGGCUUCUAGAUUGAAUCUGCACUGUGUGGUUAUUGGAGGUGGUCAUAUAGGGGUGGAAUUUAGUGGUGAAUUGAGUGAUUUCAUCACGAAAGUCUUUGCCACUCAAGUUUUAAACUACGUCUUCUACAUAUCUAAAGUCAUUGUCACUCAAGUUUUUAUAUUUAGUUUUGGUUCAGGUUUAUUAGAUAUAUAAUGUACUUAGUCAAUCAUAUACUGAUGCUAUUGUCAUUGAUGUGUAGACAAUAAAAUAAUUUGUAUUCAUAAAAUUAUA